rnacentral:rRNA from 1 species
AUGCAACAGCGCAUCAUCGCGGCUUUCCACGACAUCCCAAUGGGUGGACACUCCAGCUUCCCAGUGACCUAUCGCCGCAUCCGCAGGUUGUUUGCCUGGCCCAAAAUGAAGGCGGAUGUGCAACAGUAUGUGCGGUGUUGCCAGGUUUGUCAGCAGGCCAAACCAGACCGCACAGCUUCACCAGGGUUGUUAAUGCCAUUGCCAAUCCCCAAGGAGUCGUGGGAUCUCAUCACCAUGGACUUCGUGGAUGGAUUGCCGCAAUCGGGGCAACACAAUUGCUUGCUUGUGGUGGUCGACAAGAGAACUCGAUGUGCUCACUUCCUUCCUCUGGCUCACCCCUAUACAACAUCGAAAGUGGCUAUCCUCUACAUGCAACAACUCUACAAGCUGCACGGUUUUCCCGGGGCUAUCGUAUCUGACAGCGACCCAGUUUUCACCAGCCACUUUUGGCAAGAACUAUUCAAGUAUGCAGGUACAAAAUUGCGCAUGAGCACGGCGAACCACCCGCAGACUGACGGCCAAACCGAAAGGGUGAACCAGUGCAUCGAGACUUAUCUGCGCCGCUUCGUACAAGCGUGUCCGAAGCGAUGGAGUUUCUGGGUGCCUCUGGCGCAGUUCUGGUACAACUCAUCGCAUCACUCCGCCAUCGGGAUGACACCAUUCAAGGCCAUGUUUGGGAGAGAACCAAGGCACUGGGGGAUCACUGCAUCAACAUCGUCGACGGUACCAGCGCUGCAAACCUGGCUCGAGGAAUGGGCAGUUAUGCAAGAUCUCAUCCAACAACAACUCCAUCGCGCACGCCAGAUCAUGCAAGAACAAGCGAACAAGAAGCGCUCCUUCCGUCAGUUUCAGGUCGGCGAUUAA